UCACAUAUUAAAACCCCAUCAACCCCUUAUCACCUUUUCUUGAUUCCAAAUUUUCGAUCACAAAAGCAACAAACAUCAUAUCUAGUUAUUAACAAUGGCCACUGUCACCUCUGCUGCUGUUGCUAUCCCAUCUUUCACUGGCCUCAAGGCUUGUGCUUCCUCAUCUUCCAGAGUUAGCACUGCCUCAGCCAAGGUGGCGACCACCCCGGUCGCCAGAUUGGCCGUUAAGGCGUCUUUGAAAGACGUUGGUGCUGUCGUU
rnacentral:lncRNA from 1 species